GUUAUAUGGUCAAGCGAAUAAGCGCACACGGUGGAUGCCUAGGCGGUCAGAGGCGAUGAAGGACGUGGUAGCCUGCGAAAAGUGUCGGGGAGCUGGCAACAAGCUUUGAUCCGGCAAUAUCCGAAUGGGGAAACCCACUGCUUCGGCAGUAUCCUGCAGUGAAUUCAUAACUGCUGGAAGCGAACCCGGUGAACUGAAAUAUCUAAGUAACCGGAGGAAAAGAAAUCAACCGAGAUUCCCUAAGUAGUGACGAGCGAACGGGGAACAGCCCUUAAGCUGGAAUGGUUUUAGAAAAACAAUCUGGAAAGAUUGGCCAUAGAAGGUGAUAGCCCUGUAUUUGAAAGGGCCACUCCAGUGAAGACGAGUAGGGCGGGGCACGUGAAACCCUGUCUGAAUAUGGGGGGACCAUCCUCCAAGGCUAAAUACUCCUGACCGACCGAUAGUGAACCAGUACCGUGAGGGAAAGGCGAAAAGAACCCCGGAGAGGGGAGUGAAAUAGAUCCUGAAACCGUGUGCGUACAAGCAGUAGGAGCUCGCAAGAGUGACUGCGUACCUUUUGUAUAAUGGGUCAGCGACUUACUGUUCGUGGCAAGCUUAACCGUAUAGGGGAGGCGAAGGGAAACCGAGUCUGAUAAGGGCGCAUAGUCGCGGGCAGUAGACCCGAAACCGGGUGAUCUAGUCAUGGCCAGGGUGAAGGUGCCGUAACAGGUACUGGAGGCCCGAACCCACGUCUGUUGCAAAAGACGGGGAUGAGCUGUGAUUAGGAGUGAAAAGCUAAUCGAACCCGGAGAUAGCUGGUUCUCCUCGAAAGCUAUUUAGGUAGCGCCUCGGACGAAUACUACUGGGGGUAGAGCACUGUUAUGGCUAGGGGGUCAUCGCGACUUACCAAACCAUUGCAAACUCCGAAUACCAGUACGUACUAUCCGGGAGACACACGGCGGGUGCUAACGUCCGUCGUGAAAAGGGAAACAACCCAGACCCACAGCUAAGGUCCCAAAUUCAUUGCUAAGUGGAAAACGAUGUGGAAAGGCACAGACAGCCAGGAGGUUGGCUUAGAAGCAGCCACCCUUUAAAGAAAGCGUAAUAGCUCACUGGUCGAGUCGGUCUGCGCGGAAGAUUUAACGGGGCUAAGCAGUGAACCGAAGCUUGGGGUGCAUAAAACUUGUUUUAUGCGCGGUAGAGGAGCGUUCCGUAAGCCUGUGAAGGUAGAUUGAGAAGUCUGCUGGAGGUAUCGGAAGUGCGAAUGCUGACAUGAGUAACGAUAAUGCGGGUGAAAAGCCCGCACGCCGAAAGCCCAAGGUUUCCUUGCGCAACGUUAAUCGACGCAGGGUUAGUCGGUCCCUAAGGCGAGGGCGAAAGCCGUAGUCGAUGGGAAGCAGGUUAAUAUUCCUGCACCUCGCGUGAGUGCGAUGGAGGGACGGAGAAGGUUAGGUGUACCGGGCGUUGGUUGUCCCGGGGAAAGGCGGUAGGUUUGAAUCUUUGGCAAAUCCGGGAUUCUUUAAGACCGAGCACCGAGACGAGCCUUUAUGGCAAAGUCACUGAUACCACGCUUCCAGGAAAAGCUUCUAAGCUUCAGCUCACGAAGACCGUACCGUAAACCGACACAGGUGGGUAGGAUGAGAAUUCUCAGGCGCUUGAGAGAACUCGGGUGAAGGAACUAGGCAACAUGGCACCGUAACUUCGGGAGAAGGUGCACCCUUUUUGGUGGCUCAUGCGAGCUAUAGCUGAAGAGGGUCGCAGAAACCAGGCCGCUGCGACUGUUUAUCAAAAACACAGCACUCUGCAAACACGAAAGUGGACGUAUAGGGUGUGACGCCUGCCCGGUGCUGGAAGGUUAAUUGAUGGGGUCAGCCGCAAGGCGAAGCUCUUGAUCGAAGCCCCAGUAAACGGCGGCCGUAACUAUAACGGUCCUAAGGUAGCGAAAUUCCUUGUCGGGUAAGUUCCGACCUGCACGAAUGGCGUAACGACAGCGGCGCUGUCUCCACCCGAGACUCAGUGAAAUUGAAAUCGCUGUGAAGAUGCAGCGUUCCCGUGGCAAGACGGAAAGACCCCGUGAACCUUUACUAUAGCUUUACACUGAACGUUGAGUUCGUCUGUGUAGGAUAGGUGGGAGGCUAUGAAACUGUGGCGCUAGCUGCAGUGGAGCCAUCCUUGAAAUACCACCCUGUCGUGCUUGACGUUCUAACCUAGAUCCGUUAUCCGGAUCAGGGACCGUGUAUGGUGGGUAGUUUGACUGGGGCGGUCUCCUCCUAAAGAGUAACGGAGGAGCACGAAGGUACGCUCAGCGCGGUCGGACAUCGCGCACUGUGUGCAAAGGCAUAAGCGUGCUUGACUGCAAGAUCGACGGAUCAAGCAGGUACGAAAGUAGGUCUUAGUGAUCCGGUGGUUCUGUAUGGAAGGGCCAUCGCUCAACGGAUAAAAGGUACUCCGGGGAUAACAGGCUGAUACCGCCCAAGAGUUCAUAUCGACGGCGGUGUUUGGCACCUCGAUGUCGGCUCAUCACAUCCUGGGGCUGUAGUCGGUCCCAAGGGUAUGGCUGUUCGCCAUUUAAAGUGGUACGCGAGCUGGGUUCAGAACGUCGUGAGACAGUUCGGUCCCUAUCUGCCAUGGGCGUUGGAAGUUUGAGAGGGGCUGCUCCUAGUACGAGAGGACCGGAGUGGACGAACCUCUGGUGUUCCGGUUGUCACGCCAGUGGCAUUGCCGGGUAGCUAUGUUCGGAAGCGAUAACCGCUGAAAGCAUCUAAGCGGGAAGCGCGCCUCAAGAUGAGACUUCCCGGGGCACAAGCCCCCUAAAGGAACCAUGUAGACUACGUGGUUGAUAGGUCAGGUGUGUAAGUACAGCAAUGUAUUGAGCUAACUGAUACUAAUGAUCCGUGCGGCUUGACCAUAUAACCU
rnacentral:rRNA from 1 species